GUGAAUUAUAUGGAUACAUUGAUGGUAGAAUGUGAGGUUUUGAACAUCCAGCAAAUGUCUUCUUUGAUCCAAAUGCCAUUACUUGGUUGGCUUGGAGAACCACUUCUUCAUUGGACUUUGAGUAAACGCUAACUCCAGAGAGAUUUAACUCCAUGGGCACAUUGCAGUCAGAUCCUCCUGCUGCUGCAUGGAGCUCAACCUUGCACGAGUCAGCCCCAAAGGUGCCGCUAAGUGGCAACCCGGCAGUGUUCAAGCAAGAUAACUAUGAACAAGAAGAAACUUGACGUAUUUCCAAGCUGACUGCAUUAACGUGCGUAGAUAACGAGAACUGCAAAUAACCGAAAUGUUACCUUCCAGGUGCUCCUUCCCAUGGGAUUCUUCUGGGUGUGCCUCGUUGAAGCAUCUAUAGCAGUAUGCUUUGCCUAUCACCUUAAUGAUAGGAGCAUACGUUGGCGAUGCUGAAAGAGAAGGUGGUGGCAAGCUUCUGGCUGCCUCACCGAGCAUUGCAAAGGCAACCAGCACGGCUAAGACCAGCCAUAGCUGACCCUUUGGCUGGCGUCCAACGCUUACUUCCAUGGCUGAACAGUGCUUUCUCAAGUGAGAUGAGGAGAUGGGAGAAUGUGAAUGAUUUUGGCUUUGGUAUGGAUGGGUAUUUAUAAUGUUCAGGAUGGCGCGUGGCAGGGUCUCUGGGGAAGCAGGUGGAGCUGGUAAGGUAGUAUGGCCAAUGGAGUGAUUAGAGCCUGUACUUCCCUCAAAAAAAGAUUAGAGCAUGUACUUUGUCGCCACUUGAUUUCAGGGACAAUAUGGAAUUAGUUGUGAUUUAUAAUAACCUUUUGUGGUUGCAUGGUGUAUAUAAAUCUGCUUCUAUGUUAUUUCAGAGAAUAGCUGUUGUAGAUUUUGAA